rnacentral:ribozyme from 1 species
GUUGGUUGUUGUUGUCGAACCAAGAAGAAGACAAAGACAACAACCACAACGAACUCUUGUCCACCACCACCCACAAACCCGCCGAGAUGAACAAGCUCUCAUGUACAAAACACAACAACAACAACAACAAACUCUCCUGAAACAA